rnacentral:rRNA from 1 species
GCUUAACACAUGCAAGUCGAGGGGCAGCAUUUUAGUUUGCUUGCAAACUGAAGAUGGCGACCGGCGCACGGGUGAGUAGCACGUAUCCAACCUGCCGAUAACUCCGGAAUAGCCUUUCGAAAGAAAGAUUAAUACCGGAUGGCAUACGAAUAUCGCAUGAUAUUUUUAUUAAAGAAUUUCGGUUAUCGAUGGGGAUGCGUUCCAUUAGUUUGUUGGCGGGGUAACGGCCCACCAAGACUACGAUGGAUAGGGGUUCUGAGAGGAAGGUCCCCCACAUUGGAACUGAGACACGGUCCAAACUCCUACGGGAGGCAGCAGUGAGGAAUAUUGGUCAAUGGGCGCGAGCCUGAACCAGCCAAGUAGCGUGAAGGAUGAAGGCUCUAUGGGUCGUAAACUUCUUUUAUAUGGGAAUAAAGUUUUCCACGUGUGGAAUUUUGUAUGUACCAUAUGAAUAAGGAUCGGCUAACUCCGUGCCAGCAGCCGCGGUAAUACGGAGGAUCCGAGCGUUAUCCGGAUUUAUUGGGUUUAAAGGGAGCGUAGGUGGAUUGUUAAGUCAGUUGUGAAAGUUUGCGGCUCAACCGUAAAAUUGCAGUUGAAACUGGCAGUCUUGAGUACAGUAGAGGUGGGCGGAAUUCGUGGUGUAGCGGUGAAAUGCUUAGAUAUCACGAAGAACUCCGAUUGCGAAGGCAGCUCACUAGACUGUCACUGACACUGAUGCUCGAAAGUGUGGGUAUCAAACAGGAUUAGAUACCCUGGUAGUCCACACAGUAAACGAUGAAUACUCGCUGUUUGCGAUAUACAGUAAGCGGCCAAGCGAAAGCAUUAAGUAUUCCACCUGGGGAGUACGCCGGCAACGGUGAAACUCAAAGGAAUUGACGGGGGCCCGCACAAGCGGAGGAACAUGUGGUUUAAUUCGAUGAUACGCGAGGAACCUUACCCGGGCUUAAAUUGCAACAGAAUAUAUUGGAAACAGUAUAGCCGUAAGGCUGUUGUGAAGGUGCUGCAUGGUUGUCGUCAGCUCGUGCCGUGAGGUGUCGGCUUAAGUGCCAUAACGAGCGCAACCCUUAUCUUUAGUUACUAACAGGUCAUGCUGAGGACUCUAGAGAGACUGCCGUCGUAAGAUGUGAGGAAGGUGGGGAUGACGUCAAAUCAGCACGGCCCUUACGUCCGGGGCUACACACGUGUUACAAUGGGGGGUACAGAAGGCGGCUACCUGGUGACAGGAUGCUAAUCCCAAAAACCUCUCUCAGUUCGGAUCGAAGUCUGCAACCCGACUUCGUGAAGCUGGAUUCGCUAGUAAUCGCGCAUCAGCCAUGGCGCGGUGAAUACGUUCCCGGGCCUUGUACACACCGCCCGUCAAGCCAUGAAAGCCGGGGGUACCUGAAGUACGUAACCGCAAGGAGCGUCCUAGGGUAAAACUGGUAAUUGGGGCUAAGU